GUGUCAGCGGGAAGGACCUGCACCGCCCCCCCCCAACCUGCAGGCCUCGGCUCCUCGGUUCCAGGCCCUCAGUCGAGGGGCCUGGGGCUUCUCCAGAAGGGGGUCCUCGGGCCUUCCUGCCGGGGACCCUGCAGCUCUUUGGUUGGGGAACCUCAGGAAUGGGGUCUCGGGCCCCUUGGCCGUGGGCUCCAGGACCCUCACAGAAGCACAGGGAGCUGAGAGAGAAAAGCAGGGCCGGAGGGCAGUUAAAGCGCUGAAAACAUUCCACUCAGGACCGUUGACAUAGGGCACAAGAGACCUCAGUCAUCCCCGAAUACCGUGUGGACUGAAAAAACAAUGCACCACCUAAAAGUUGAGAGUUACGUUUUAUUCGGUGGACAAGACUGAGGACUUAAGCCCGGGACACAGCAUCUCAGAUAACUCAGGGACUGUUCCGAAGAGCCUCCUGACCACAGGUACCCAGGUAGCCAAAACUUGGACCAAAAGGACCUCCUGGGUAGCACAGUCUCAGAAUGGGGAGAGGACGGAAAGCCAGCGUGCGGCUUUGAUAAACGUUUGCCCAAUUGGAUCGCAUUCAAGUUGCUGUUCCUGUAGGACUCAGCAUGACAGAAAUGAUGAGAAGUGAGGAUUCAUUUUUAGAGAGAAAGAGAUGCUCUCUCCCCAGAGCCAGCCCUGGAUGGCGGCCAUCAGAUGAGAAGAGCUGCGGGAGCGUGGGGGGCCAACUGCUCACCCUGUACGAUGUUCCUGACCCACAGCUAUCCUAUUGCUGCUUGAAUACCACCAGUGAUGGAGAGCUCACCACCUCGAGGGCAGCCACAUCUAAUGCUGGUCGGGUUGGCUGUGGGAAAGUCUCUCCAGUGUCGGGUCAGAUCUGUUCCGUCGAUUGUGCUCUGCCCUCUGAAGAUGUACAGAUCACCGCCCCCUCCUGUCUGGUGUCAUCCUCCCCUUCUGCUGACCACCUCCAGUUCCUUAACCGUGUGUCCUAAGCUGGGGUCCGGGUCCUCCCAUCCUGUCCCUGGGGGUGUUCUGAUCUGCCAAUGUCCCUAAAGUCAGGCACUCAGAACCAAGCAGGAGGUUCCUUUUUCUGACCAACCGGCCAAGAGUCCCAUGACUUUCCUGCUUCUGGACACCGCACCUCCAGCCGAGGUGCGCUGCUGGCCCGCCUGGGUGACAUCCAGGGAGAAGCCACAUGUGACCGGUUCUGUGCCAAUUGCUGUGGGAGGUUGGGCAGGGGACGUGGCCGCAGGAGCGGUAGGUCUAGUCCAGGCACCGAGCUGACACUGAUGCGGGCUGUGGUUUUAGGGUGAGCCCAGCUGUCACGUCUUCCCUGCCAUCCCCCCCAUCCCAUCUGGGCCCUGACGACUGGACCAGGGCCGGUCACCUGACUUAAGCUAGACCAAUCACAUCAGCAGUUGGGGUAUCAGGUCAGUCCCAGCAGGUGGCUGCGGGGCAGCUUUAUUCCCAUGGGGUCUGGGAAAUCUGAUGUCCAUUUGCAGAGAAAGAAGAGAGAUGGGGUGGGGGAAGCCAUGCGGAGAGAGGAGUAAAACGUGAAGCAAAUGCAGAGAGGUGGGGGUGGGCGCACACCCCCAGAGCCCCCUGUGACACCCGCCCUCCCAGCCACGUAGACCCACAAGGUCCCACAGGGAGGGAGAGGGGUGCUGGGGGUCUGGCCCUGAGCCCUUCCUGGUGCCAGGAUUCUCCAACGUCCUUGGGACCCACCUCAACCUUGCGGAAAGAUCCAAGGCAACCCAAAGCCACCACCUCUCAGGGUCCCACCCUCCUUGCUGCCCAGGGUGACACAGGCCAACAGCCAAUGAGGGGCCGACAGCCCAUUGCCUGGGGCUCCUGGAGGCUGUGUCAUCUUGUAACUUUUGUAAUUUUUUCCCGCCACUCCUUGGGGAUGUUUACUGGCUACUGGACCUGUACCUGCCCAGGUGUGGAACCCGCCAGUUGGGGCCAGGGGAGGAUUGUCCAGGCUGAGGCGGCACGAUUCAAUGCUUGGCCAAGAGUGGUUAAGACCAGUGUGGGCUCAGCCUUUCCUGGGCCCUGCUCUGGCGUGAGCAAGGGGCCUGCCCUCUCUGGGCCUCCAGUCUCUCCCCUGCAGAAUGGGGACAGUUGUGUCUCCCACCUCACAGGCCUGCUGUGGCUGCUCGAGGAGCUCUAGGAGCCAGUGUAGGUAGAGAGCCUGGCACAGAACCAGUCCCGUGGAAGGCAGGUCCCCGAUAGGAGGAUGCCUUGCAAGAUGGUGCACUCACGUGGCUGGCAGGGGGUGCUGGCAGAGGGCCAGAGGCCUUGGUUCCCCUCCACGUGGGCCUCCCCCCGGCCCCCACUGCACCACCCCUGUGUUCUGGCGGCAGGCUCAUCGCCUGUUAUGAUACCAGCCUCAGACGUCAGACAGCAUCUGUUAUGAGCGCAAUUGUGCCCCCUCCAAAUUCGUGCGCCGGCGUCCUAACCCCUAGUAGCUCAGGAUGCAAUUGUGGUGGAGAACGGGGUCUUUAAAGAGAGAAUUAAGGUAAAAUGAGGUCAUGUGUGUGGGUCCUAAUCCAGUCUGACAGGUGUCCUAAUAAGAAGGGGAGAGUAGGACACAGACACACACGGAGGGACGACCACGUGAGGACACGGGAGAAGACGGCCAUCUGCAAGCCAAGGAGAGAGGCCUCGGGAAGAACCACCCUGCCCACACCUGGAUCUUCGGCCUCCAGAGCUGAGAGGAAAUAAAUG